CGGGGUGUGGCGCAGCUUGGUAGCGCGCCUGCUUUGGGAGCAGGAGAUCGUGGGUUCAAAUCCCGCCACCCCGACCA
rnacentral:tRNA from 1 species